GGGGUGGCUGUGCAGGCAUUGGAGUUCUCCAGAGGGUGUCUCUUGGGCCUGGAAUGUGUCUGGGGGAUGGGCUUACUGCGGAAGGAGUACUGCAGGAAGGAGUGGUGGCGGAUGGUGUCGAAGAUGGAGUAGAGAGCCCAGUCCAAGCCACACAGCACCACCAGCAGCAGCAGAAUGGGCAGUGUCUCCAGGAGCUCCCUCACCUGGCCAAGGAGCAGGAGGGGCAGAGCUGGGCAGUGCCAUCUGCCUGGGCACGGAGCACUCUCUGGUGCCUUUUACCCUCCACCCUCACCUUCAGGCCUGUCUUUGCACCCAGGAGUCCGCUCCCCAUGCUGUCCUCACCACAUUGCUCAUUUCUGAGGCCUGGAUGGUGGGCUUGCAAGGGAAGAUGACGGUUUUCUCCUCAGCUUUGCGGAGUGGCAGCAGAGUCCGUUUGCCCUGGAAAACAAAUGUCCACACAGUUAGGAAGCCCAAGGGCCCUCUGCCCUUUCCUCUCUGCCUUCCUGGAGCAUGAACCCACACAGGGCACACAGCAGCAAGGCAUCCCCGGGCAGUGCCGUGCCCACUCACCAGCUUCUUCCUGCGGUCAUCGAUCUGGCAGAAGUUCUCCUCAUCUAUCCCCAAACAUGGGCUUCCUUGAGGCACAGUCAUUCAACCAACCAGCCAGCAUUCAUUGAGCACCAUCUAUGUCCUGGGCACUGCUAGGGGAUGGUGAUAACAGGGAGAAGACUCUGUCCCUGCCUUCCAAUUGUGUAGAGGAAGACAUCCCCCUACAUGAUGGGUGAGACAUAGCAGAAGUGAGUAGGGGAUGAGGUGGGGGCUCAGAGGAGGGCAUGGUCAGCCUGUCUGGGAGGGAGUUGCAUGUGUGCAUCUGAGGUAGGGACAGGCAUGCAUCUUACAGGAUGAAUAUCGAGCAGAGUUACAGAGAGGGGGAAACUCCUUGAGGUUUCAGGAAUCACCUAAUCCACUGUGACUCACAAAUUCCUGCCUCUUGGCUUUGCCUGCAGCAUAUCUCCUGGAAGUGUGCUGGGGCAAAACUCAUCCCAGACCACCAUCUCCAUCCUCCCCCAAUACACCCUGGCUCUCCCUGGCUACCCUUGAGCACGGUGCACGUGUGCAUGGGUGCAUGCCUGCAUAUAUAGCUAUCCCCCAUGUAUUUCCCAAAGCCCUACAUAAUGCUUCAGUUUGCUAAGGAAAAAAUGUUAAUUAC
rnacentral:lncRNA from 1 species